GGUUCCAUGGUGUAAUGGUUAGCACACUGAGCUUUGAAUCCAGUGGUCUGAGUUCGAGUCUCAGUGAGACCU